UUCCGGUUGAUCCCGCCGGACCUGACUGCUAUCGGAUUGAUACUAAGCCAUGCGAGUCAUUGUAGCAAUACAAGGCAGACGGCUCAGUAACGCGUAGUCAACCUAACCUAUGGAUGGGAAUAACCUCGGGAAACUGAGAAUAAUGCCCAAUAGAACACUAUACCUGGAAUGGUUUGUGUUCCAAAUGAUUUAUCGCCGUAGGAUGGGACUGCGGCCUACCAGUUUGUUGGUGAGGUAAUGGCCCACCAAGACUAUUACAGGUACGGGCUCUGAGAGGAGUAGCCCGGAGAUGGGUACUGAGACACGGACCCAGGCCCUAUGGGGCGCAGCAGGCGAGAAAACUUUGCAAUGUGCGAAAGCACGACAAGGUUAAUCCGAGUGAUUUGUGCUAAACGAAUCUUUUGUUAGUCCUAGAAACACUAACGAAUAAGGGGUGGGCAAGUUCUGGUGUCAGCCGCCGCGGUAAAACCAGCACCUCAAGUGGUCAGGAUGAUUAUUGGGCCUAAAGCAUCCGUAGCCGGCUCUGUAAGUUUUCGGUUAAAUCUGUAUGCUCAACAUACAGGCUGCCGGGAAUACUGCAGAGCUAGGGAGUGGGAGAGGUAGACGGUACUCGGUAGGAAGGGGUAAAAUCCUUUGAUCUAUUGAUGACCACCUGUGGCGAAGGCGGUCUACCAGAACACGUCCGACGGUGAGGGAUGAAAGCUGGGGGAGCAAACCGGAUUAGAUACCCGGGUAGUCCCAGCUGUAAACUAUGC
rnacentral:rRNA from 1 species